GCCAAUGAUGACGUUUUUGAAUGAGACACUGAAAUGCUACUUGCAUUCAAUGUUGAAUUUUUAUGAACUAGGACGGUCUGAGGC